rnacentral:rRNA from 1 species
AGUAAAUAGAUACCCGGGUAGUCCACGCGGUAAACGAUGAAUACUAGCCCGAUGGGGUGUUAAAGCCUUAGUGGCGCAGCUAAACGCGAUAAGUAUUCCGCCUGGGAAGUACGGCCGCAAGGUUAAAACUCAAAGGAAUUGACGGGGCCCGCACAAGCGGUGGAGUAUGUGGUUUAAUUCGAUGCAACGCGAAGAACCUUACCUACUCUUGACAUGGUGGGAAUGGCGUAGAGAUAUGCCAGUGCCGAAAGGAACCCACACACAGGUGCUGCAUGGCUGUCGUCAGCUCGUGUCGUGAGAUGUUGUCUUAAGUGACGCAACGAGCGCAACCCUUGCCUCUAGUUACCAUCAUUCAGUUGGGGACUCUAGAGGGACUGCUGGCCUAUGGCCGGAGGAAGGGGGUGGUA